UACGUAGGGGCCGAGCGUUGUCCGGAGUUAUUGGGCGUAAAGCGCGCGCAGGCGGCUUGACGCGCCCGACGUGAAAGCCCCCGGCUUAACCGGGGAGGGUCGUCGGGUACGGUCAGGCUUGAGGGCGGGAGAGGGUGGUGGAAUUCCCGGUGUAGUGGUGAAAUGCGUAGAGAUCGGGAGGAACACCGGUGGCGAAGGCGGCUUCCUGGACCGACACUGACGCUGAGGCGCGAAAGCUAGGGGAGCAAACGGG
rnacentral:rRNA from 1 species